UACAGAGGGUGCAAGCGUUAAUCGGAAUUACUGGGCGUAAAGCGUGCGUAGACGGUUAUGUAAGUCGGGUGUGAAAGGCCCGGGCUCAACCUGGGAAUGGCGCUUGAUACUGCGGCGCUGGAAGGUGGGAGAGGAUGGCGGAAUUCCCAGUGUAGAGGUGAAAUUCGUAGAUAUUGGGAAGAACACCGGUGGCGAAGGCGGCCAUCUGGCCCACAUUUGACGCUGAGGCGCGAAAGCGUGGGGAGCAAACAGG
rnacentral:rRNA from 1 species